CUCCUCCUGGAGGACCCCGAGGUGUUCCCAGACCAGAUGAGAUCUGCAGUCCCUCCAGCCUGCAGGAAGGACAGACAUGUUACUGAGGUCCACCAUCUGAAAUACAGUCUUGGGACAUGUUGAAAGUUUCCACUGCCCACCAUCAUCGGCCUCUCACCUGACACUGAAAAGUGCAAAACUCUCAGUUGAAAAACUGAGAAGUCCUGUUAGAAAAAAUAAGAAGAAUCACUGCAGCAGGGUGGUGCUGGUGCAAGAGCUGAGGCGAGAGCAGCUGAUGCUGGAGGACAGUGCAUCUCUAAAACAUCCCAUAACUGCAUUUCAAAUAGCGGACCUCUGCAACAUAUCUAUCCUUCCUUUGGUGGACUGUGACCGGCAGCAGCCAAACGGCACCUCGUCAUUACAACAUCCGACAGCUGCGGCAGGAGGAGACGAGAGAAGGAAGAGAACGAGGGAAGAAAGAGAGAAAGAGUCAUCAUGUUGUGCUAAUUGUCUCAUUUGUGCUCCAAUAAACAGUGAAUUCAU